CAACAUUGUGUUCUGUGAAAAGAGAGUCCUGCCAAGGGCUACGAGGCAGAAAACUGAUAUUAUUAAAGUGGUCUUCUGAACGCAACUCUCUGCAAGGUCCUAAGGGUUCUAAGUUGAAUAAGGCCCACUCCCUCCCUUCCAGGACUUUAGCUGAGGUUGGUUGGGGCAGAAGUCGGGCAAGACUCAUCGGAACGGAUUAACAGAGACAGAAUCCAGAGGCAACGGGGUGAAUUCCAAGUAUAGAAAAGACACACUUGGUCUGAGGGUAUGUUUCAGCUCAGGCAUGCUGCCAUCAGGACCACGUAAAGCUGGAUUUUUCUACGCUAGUCCAUUUGCACGAUCUGGACUCAGAAGAGAUUUAAGUUUCAAAUCUGGCUUUGUCAGUUAAUGCUUGUGGGAUCUCAACCACGUCACUGACUUCUCUGAGCAUGCUUCCAUAUUUCUACAAAGGAAACAAUAGGUGACUCUGCUGAGUUGAGCACUUGCGAGUACCAAGCAGUGAGGACCUGAGGCACAGAUGCUAACCAGCUUGCUGGAGAUCACACACUCAUGAGUGGCAGAGUGGGGCUUGGAACCGGGUAGCCUGGCUCUGGAGCCCUCACUCCAUCCACACACCAUGCUGGGACCCAGUCGAGUGACCAGCAGACCGGUUGUGUGGGUUAGGUGGAAUGGUGGAUAUAAACCACACAGCCCAGCUCCUGACCCAUGCUGGGC
rnacentral:lncRNA from 1 species